GUACCUCUGGGUAGGGGUGAAUCCUAUAUCCCGGGGGACCACCAGUGCGAAGGCUGUGACUAGAACGCGCUCGACUGUGAGGGACGAAAGCUGGGGGAGCGAACCGGAUUAGAUACCCGGGUAGUCCCAGCCGUAAACGAUGCGAGCUAGGUGUUGGGGUGGCUACGGGCCACUUCAGUGCCGCAGGGAAGCCAUUAAGCUCGCCGCCUGGGGAGUACGGCCGCAAGGCUGAAUCUUAAAGGAAUUGGCGGGGGAGCACCACAAGGCGUGAAGCUUGCGGUUCAAUUGGAGUCAACCCCGGGAACCUACCGGGGGCGACAGCAGUAUGA
rnacentral:rRNA from 1 species